rnacentral:rRNA from 1 species
GACGAACGCUGGCGGCGUGCUUAACACAUGCAAGUCGAACGAUGAUGCUGGAGCUUGCUCCAGUCGAUUAGUGGCGAACGGGUGAGUAACACGUGAGCAAUCUGCCCUUGACUCUGGGAUAACUGCGGGAAACUGUAGCUAAUACCGGAUACUUUCACCGGGGGGCAUCCUCUGGUGAUGAAAGGAUUUCGGUCAAGGAUGAGCUCGCGGCCUAUCAGCUUGUUGGUGAGGUAACGGCUCACCAAGGCGACGACGGGGAACCGGCCUGAGAGGGUGACCGGUCAGACUGGGACUGAGACACGGCCCAGACUCCUACGGGAGGCAGCAGUGGGGAAUAUUGCACAAUGGGCGCAAGCCUGAUGCAGCAACGCCGCGUGAGGGAUGAAGGCCUUCGGGUUGUAAACCUCUUUUAGCAGGGAAGAAGCGAAAGUGACGGUACCUGCAGAAAAAGCACCGGCUAACUACGUGCCAGCAGCCGCCGUAA